rnacentral:tRNA from 1 species
GCGACGGUAGUAUAAUCUGGUUCAGUACUGUACGUUGCCAACGUAUAAAUUCGGGUUCAAAUCCCGACCGUCGCA